AUUUUUUUGUUAAUUUAUUUUAAGUAAGACCUGCCCAAUGACUUUUGUUAAAUGGCUGCAGUAUUUUAACUGUACGAAGGUAGCAUAAUAAUUUGUUUAAUAAUUUUAGACUUGAAUGAAAGGUUUUUUUAGAUUUAAUCUUUCUUUAUAUUAUUUAUAAGAAUUAAUUAUAUCAGUUAGAAAACUGAUAUAAUUUUAUGGGACGAGAAGACCCUGUAGAGUUUUAUAUUUUAAUAGGAUAUAUCCUAUUAAAAUAUUAUGUUGGGGGGAUAGUAAUUUAUAUAAACAAUUUUUUUUUGUUUCAUUGAUUUAUGAUUUUUUGAUCCAAUUAUUUUGAUUAUAAGAUUAAACUACCUCAGGGAUAACAGCGUAAUUUAUUGGAGAGU
rnacentral:rRNA from 1 species